CAGCACCUCAAGUGGUCAGGAUGAUUAUUGGGCCUAAAGCAUCCGUAGCCGGCUUUGUUAGGUUUCGGUUAAAUCCAUGUGCUCAACGCAUGGGCUGCCGAAAAUACUGCAUGGCUAGGGAGUGGGAGAGGUAGACGGUACUCAGUAGGAAGGGGUAAAAUCCUUUGAUCUAUUGAUGACCACCUGUGGCGAAGGCGGUCUACCGGAACACGUUCGACGGUGAGGGAUGAAAGCUGGGGGAGCAAACCGGAUUAGAUACCCGGGUAGUCCCAGCUGUAAACGAUGCAGACUCGAUGAUGCAUUGGCAUAAUAGCCAAUGCAGUGUCGCAGGGAAGCCGUUAAGUCUGCCGCCUGGGAAGUACGUACGCAAGUAUGAAACUUAAAGGAAUUGGCGGGGGAGCACCACAAGGGGUGAAGCCUGCGGUUCAAUUGGAGUCAACGCCAGAAAUCUUACCCGGAGAGACAGCAGAAUGAAGGUCAAGCUGAAGACUUUACCAGACAAGCUGAGAGGUGGUGCAUGGCCGUCGCCAGCUCGUGCCGUGAGAUGUCCUGUUAAGUCAGGUAACGAGCGAGAUCCCUGCCACUAGUUGCCAUCAUUAUUCUCAGGAAUAGUGGGGCGAAUUAGUGGGACUGCCGUUGUUAAAACGGAGGAAGGAAGGGGCUACGGCAGGUCAGUAUGCCCCGAAACUCUGGGGCCACACGCGGGCUGCAAUGGUAGUGACAAUGAGUUCCAAACUCGAAAGAGAGUGGCAAUCUCUAAACGCUACCACAGUUAUGACUGAGGGCUGUAACUCGCCCUCACGAAUAUGGAAUCCCUAGUAACCGCGUGUCAUUACCGCGCGGUGAAUACGUCCCUGCUCCUU
rnacentral:rRNA from 1 species